rnacentral:misc_RNA from 1 species
AUGGGAUUAUGCCAAUCUGCAGAGGACAAAGAACUGACGUUGAAAUCAAAAGCGAUCGAUAAGGAAAUGAUGCAGAACCAUAUGUCACAGCAAAAAGUUGUGAAGCUUCUGCUUUUGGGUGCUGGAGAAUGUGGAAAAAGUACGGUUCUGAAACAAAUGAGGAUUCUUCACGAUCACGGAUUUACUGCAGAAGAGGCUGAACAACAGAAAAGUGUCGUUUUCAAUAAUACCCUUCAAGCAAUGACUGCAAUUCUGAAAGGAAUGGAAGCACUUCGAAUGACCUUUGAUAAGCCAAUUCGAGAAAAUGAUGCAAAAUUUGUGAUGGAGUCUCAUAAAAUGCUCCAAGAAGCGAAAGUUUUCCCAGAAGAAUUAGCAAAUGCCAUUCAAGCAUUAUGGAAUGAUAAAGCCGUUCAGCAAGUUAUUGCAAAAGGAAAUGAGUUCCAAAUGCCUGAAAGUGCACCACAUUUUCUAUCAAGUCUUGAUCGUAUCAAGUUACCCGAUUAUAAUCCAACUGAACAGGAUAUUCUUCUGUCUAGAAUCAAGACAACUGGAAUUGUUGAAGUUAAAUUUCAAAUGAAAAGUGUAGAUUUUAGGGUAUUUGACGUUGGAGGUCAACGAUCAGAGAGAAAGAAAUGGAUUCAUUGUUUUGAAGAUGUUAAUGCAAUUAUUUUCAUCGCUGCAAUUUCAGAAUAUGAUCAAGUUCUGUUUGAAGAUGAGACGACGAAUCGAAUGAUUGAAUCAAUGAGGCUGUUUGAAUCAAUUUGUAAUUCACGAUGGUUCAUCAAUACUUCAAUGAUUCUUUUCUUAAAUAAGAAGGAUUUGUUUGCCGAGAAGAUUAAAAGAACUUCAAUUAAAUCCGCAUUCCCAGACUAUAAAGGUGCACAAACCUACGACGAAUCGUGUCGAUAUAUUGAGGAAAAGUUUGAUGGAUUGAAUGCAAAUCCAGAAAAGACGAUUUACAUGCAUCAGACGUGUGCAACAGAUACAGAUCAAGUACAAAUGAUUUUGGACUCAGUGAUUGAUAUGAUUAUCCAGGCCAACUUGCAAGGAUGCGGUUUGUACUGAAAUGCCUCUAAAAUGCGAUUGCUGCUCCUAUGUGUAUCUUCUUUAUUUCCAUCUCGUCUUCUCCUCAACUUCUUCUACAGAAAUCUAUUUCCGACGGGUAUCUACCAUUUAAAAAUCAUUAAUUUAUAUGUGCAUAAUCUUUUAUUUACUAACACAUUCCCAUUUCUAGAAUCUUUUCUCUCUGGUGGUGUCAUCUUUUAGUUUUUAUACAUUUUCGUGUUCUUCUAGUUUUUCAACAAAACAACUUUUUAUGUUUUCCCGAGAGUUUAUAAUAUUCCCCUUCUCAUGUAUUCCAUUCGAUGUGGCCGGUGUCUUUAAUUAUUG